CGUGAUCUGGCAGAAAUAUGUGAUUGAUUUAGGAUCAUUUUAUGAGGUUUAAUACUCGGUCAUAU
rnacentral:tRNA from 1 species